UGCACCCACAUCACCUUGAAACACUAGUUCCCGUAGGAUCAUCGAAGUUAAACAACGUUAAGCCUGGUUAUUACCAAGAUGGGUGGCUUUUUGGGAAUACUAAUUGCUGAAA